UGUUUAAGUUUUACAAUUCUCUUUUUCCAUUCUUCCAUUUCCUCUUCUCUGAUCCCUGAGUUCAUGCAUUACCCUUUAAACAAUCAAAGAUAAUCUUAAAAGUCUUCUUGAAUGUGUCGUUCCUCCUCCUCUUAAUCAUUCUUCUAUAUAAAUCUCCAUGUCUAUACCUAAAUCCACCCAAAAUAAAAAAUCAAAAAAUCAAAAACCUCAUCUGAAGAAGCUACAUCCAUGACCAUGAAAUCCACCGGAUAAUCUCAACUCUCCACCAGAAAAUCUCCAGUCGCCGUAUAUUUCAACAACCUCUCACCAGGACUAGGAUCAAGAUGGAGGUCGCUUCAGAGGGUACCAAUCUCAUGAAGAAGAGAUCGAUCUCGAGUUGGAUUGCUCUAAGUUUGUAAAAAAGGCUCAUUACUCUAAGGUUUUUUUUUUUUGUCGCUGGUGGAGAUUUGUUGCAGAACGCUGUGGCUUUUGAGUUCACAUCGGCUCCAGAUCACGUUUGUGUAAGCUGUAGUUAUCAUUCUUCGUUAAACCAAGCAUUUAGGUGAUUCGUAUUACUUUUCCCACUCUCUUUUGCAUUUAAUCGGCAUAACCAUCUUUCAGAGUAACCGAUUGAAGCUUGGAGCAUAUAUUAUUUUGUAGGCUGCGAUGAACAUCUUCCUUGCUACACAGGUAUGAAGCCACACUGCUACGAAUUCUCCAUGUUCAAUUGAUUCUCUUUACGAGAGGAUGGAGCAGUUCUUCUGAAUGCUCUUAAGGUAUAUGCAGCACUACGAUGAUGUUAGACUGUCUAACCUUGGUAUGGAUGACACAAACGAUCCGGUUGAGACUCACCAGUAGCUAGGAAGUGUUAAGGACUGGAUCAGCUCCCGCCACCUCAAAACUCUAAAGCUCACAGAUUUCAUUCAAACUUCCUUGAUAUCUCAAUAGUAAUGUGUUCUUCUUCCUUCCUUUACACCUUAGAAAACGUAACCCAAUUUUUGCAUAUUUAAUUUCAUGCCGUUUUAAGCCAGUCUAUUUUAUUAUUUCACUGACUGAAGGUAAAUCAAGUCUUAAUGAAAGUCACUCCCAAAAAAGACCCUUGAAGCAUCUAAGAUGAAAUCUACAGCUUUUUGUAAUAAUAUAUACUGUAAACUUUAGAAUCUAUCUUCCUCGGUUUUGAAAACCGGACCGGACCGGCCGGUCGAACCGGUUCGACCGCGACUCGUUUAGUAAGCCGAGUCCGGUUCGAUUCAAAACCCGGAUUUCAUUAAACUCGAGCAACUCGGCUCAAAACCGGUGGAACCGGUGACCCGGGUUGACGUUAAAACCCGGUUUGUUAUUUUGACACAUUUUAAAUUGUAAUUAGGGUUUUAUAUCAGGCUAAUCCUACAUAAUAACUUAAGUUAAUAAUAGUUAUACUUAAACAGCCGUCUUUUUUUAAUAAUUCUCGAGAAAAAGAAACCUAAACGUCUUCUCGUCGUCUCUCACUGUCGUACACCAUUCUCCAUCUGAAUUUUCCUUUGCCACAAGAUUUGGAAUUGCACUUGUAAGAAAAAUUAAUGGAGGGGAAUCAUUCAGAACCAGAUUUAGGCGUACCUUCUUCUCAACGUUCAGUUCGUCGUAAAGAUGACAUAGCUUGGAGAUAUAUAACAGAACGGACUGAGCAGAAUAGGAAGAAAACUUUGAUUUGUGACUUCUGUCAGAAAGAGAGCGGAGGUGGAGGCAUUAACAGAAUGAAACAACAUUUAGCUGGGGUAAGAGGAAACAUAGAUUCAUGUACCAAAGUUUCUGCAGAAGUUCAGUUUCAGAUGAAGCAAUCACUGAAGGAAAAUGAAGACAAAAAUAAGGAAAAGAGAGGAAUACCACUUGAUGAUAUAAACAUUGUUGCUGAUAUGAAUGAUAAUGGACAAGGCAUUCAUUCUCAGCCAUCUGUUACUCAAACCAAAAAGAGAAACAGAGGUGGAGAUUUACAUGGGUUUUUUAAAACAGGUCUGAGUGAUCCUACUCAACCAAGUAUAAAGGCAUCUAUACAAAGCAAGGAAAAGGUGCAUGAUGCUGAUAUGGCUGUUGCUUUAUGGUUUUAUGAUGCAUGCAUUCCCAUGAACGCUGUGAACUCUCCAUUCUUUCAAGUUAUGUUAAGCAAAGCUUCUAGUUUAGGACAUGCUUCGUAUCAUGCUUUGAGGGUUGGGUUAUUAAGAGAUGCAAAAAAACAUGUAUCUUUGAUCGUUGAAUCAUUUAGAAGCACUUGGGCUAGCACCGGCUGUACCUUGAUGGGAGAUGGAUGGAAAGACACUAGAAAAAGACCACUGAUCAAUUUUUUAGUGUACUGUCCAAAAGGAGUUACGUUCAUCAAGUCGGUUGAUGCAUCUGAUGUAUACACAAAUGCAGAGAAUUUGUGUAAUUUAUUUGCUGAGAUGGUGGAAAUGGUUGGCUCUGAAAAUGUGGUUUAUUUAGUGACUGAUAAUGCACCUAACUACAAGGCUUCAGGUAGAUUACUUGCGGAGAGAUACCCAAAUAUUUCUUGGUCUCCAUGUGCAGCUCAUUGCAUGAAUUUAAUAUUGGAGGAUGUGGGAAACAUGCCUAAUGUUAAAGAGUUAGUUUCUGCUGUCUCAAAGGUAACUAUCUUUGUCUACAAUCAUAAGUCCACUUUAAAUUUUUUGAGGAAGAGGCAAGGUUGGAGGGAAAUCAUUCGUCCAGGAGAAACCCGCUUUGCUACCACUUUUAUAGCCCUUCAGAGUGCAUAUGCACAUAAAGACGACUUACAAGCUUUGGUAGUAGAUCAAGAGUUCAGGCAGUUUCUGAAAACAGAGAAAGCAAGAUAUGUCAAGGCUGUUGUUUUGGAUGAAAACAUGUGGGAGCAUUGUUUGUUGAUCGUAAGGAUUAUGGCUCCAAUGAUAUGCUUGUUGCGUGUUUGUGAUACUGAUGAGAAGCCAUCAUUACCAUAUGUCUAUGAAGGAAUGUAUCGAGCACGUUUAGGCAUCAAGAAGAUAUUUGGAAAAAAGAAGGAAUUGUAUAAGCCUUAUACAAGGAUCAUAAAGAACAGGUGGGAUAGAAUGUUGCGCCAUGAUCUUCAUGCUGCAGCAUACUUCUUCAAUCCAGCUUUCAUGUAUGAUCAAAAGAACUUUUCAAAAAAGCCUGAGAUAUUGAAAGCGAUGUUAAAUUUGAUGGAAAACCCAAAAGGGUCUGACAGAACAAAGAUCUUUGAGGGGAUGACAAUGUAUAGAGAACGUGAGAAAAGCUUCUCACAUUCAUCAGCUUUAAGUUGUUCGAAAACCACUCGUCCUGAUGAGUGGUGGAAGUUCUUUGGAUAUGAUGUUCCUGUUUUGCAGAAGCUAGCAAUUCAAAUUCUUAGCCAAACUGCAUCAUCAUCGGGCUGUGAGCGUAAUUGGUCUUUUUUUGAAAGAAUUCACACAAAAAGGAGGAAUAGAUUGGAACAUCAAAGACUCAAUGAUCUUGUCUACGUUCAUUACAAUUUGCGCCUGCAAGAUAGGUUCUCAAAAAGAAAGAGGUCAUAUGAUCCGAUUGAUUAUGAGUCCAUUAAUAAAACUGAGUUCUGGGUAGUAGAAGAAAGUGGAGAAGCUGAACUAGAUUAUGAUGAACUUGAGAAUGCACUUACUGAAGAAAACCCAAAAGAUGGAGAAGAUGCAACUUCUGAAACCUUGAACUUGAACGAAGGUACCGAAGAUGAAGUGCCAUUCUCUCAAGAUGAUACAGCUGAAUAAGUUUGAGAUAUUCUAUCAUUCUCCAACGGAUAUUAUUUAUCUAUUUUAUGAUGCUAUUUUAGAUAUUAUUCAUCAAACAUUUUUAUAUAUGAUUAAUUAUAUAAUAUUUAUUUAUAUUAAAAUAUAUAAUAAAUAUAAACCCGGUUCGACCGGUUGAACCGGUUCGACCAAUCAACCAAUGAGUACGCCGAGUCGAUGUCCGGUCCGGUUUUAAAACAUUGCCUUUAACUGAUCACUUCCUGACUUUCAGAAAUCAUGGACCAGCUGGAGAAAAAAAUGUGUUCUUUGUAGAGCAGGGAAGGACACAUGCGUCAUAAACGGAGACACGCGAAUUAAAGUUUGUGAAAAUGGAUCUGAUGGUAAAGUACUAAAGCUGCUCCAAAAGACGGGAAAGCUAUUACUUCUCAAGACUACAUGUACAUGAAAGUGCUCUGUACCAUUAGAUGCAAUAUGUAACCACUGACCAUUACAGAGCUUCACAACAAGUUGGAUGGUGAAGCCAACCAGACUACAGCAGUUUGUAAGCUAAUCCAAGAAGGCUACAUGAAGAUUCUAGCAGCCGCUGUCUAGGUUUGCUUUCUCAGUUCAGACCCUACUCUUUUAAGGUUUGUUGAUCAUAAAGCUGCAUCACUAAUGCCAUGGAUAUAUAGAGGGAAGCGUGUAAUUUUCUCAAGUCUAACCGAGUAGAAGCUGAAUGUAGUUAGAAAGUUAUUGACCCAUUAACCACAGUGGAAGCAUAUGUGAACAGUGAUGGUGUAGCCAAUGCGCUUAUCCAACACCAGUGGCGUCCAAAGUCGUUUAUUACUGCAUUGUCUGUAGUUUGCCAGAGACAUGGGAUCUUGCCGUUUCCACAUCGAAUAAUCCAUAAGCUGAUUUUGGCAUGGAACAAUCGAGUGCUUUAAUUAGUUGUGGAUGCUCUCCAAGAACUUGAAAGAGUUAUCAGUAAAGUGAUUUUACAUUUAAGGUUCUUUCGUCUCACAUGUCCUCUUCAGUUCAUACAUAAUAUGAUGAUCUUAGGGUUAUAACUUUCUUUUUGAUCAACCAUCAGGUUUAAUAUCACUAUAUGUUUUUGAUA